UACGGAGGGUGCGAGCGUUGUCCGGAAUCAUUGGGCGUAAAGCGCGUGUAGGCGGUCCGGUAAGUCCGCUGUGAAAGUCGGGGGCUCAACCCUCGAAUGCCGGUGGAUACUGUCGGGCUAGAGUGCGGAAGAGGCGAGUGGAAUUCCUGGUGUAGCGGUGAAAUGCGCAGAUAUCAGGAGGAACACCAAUUGCGAAGGCAGCUCGCUGGGACGUAACUGACGCUGAGACGCGAAAGCGUGGGGAGCAAACAGG
rnacentral:rRNA from 1 species